UAUAAGAUAAGCUAAAGGACAAGCUGUUAGGUUCAUACCCUAAAAAUGAGUAUUUCUCUCUUAUAA
rnacentral:tRNA from 2 species